rnacentral:rRNA from 1 species
UACGUAGGGUGCAAGCGUUGUCCGGAAUUAUUGGGCGUAAAGAGCUCGUAGGCGGUUUGUCGCGUCGACUGUGAAAACCCGAGGCUUAACCUCGGGCCUGCAGUCGAUACGGGCAGACUAGAGUUCGGUAGGGGAGACUGGAAUUCCUGGUGUAGCGGUGAAAUGCGUAGAUAUCUGGAGGAACACCGGUGGCGAAGGCGGCAUCCUGGCCCGGUACUGACGCUCAAGCGCGAAAGCGUGGGGAGCAAACAGG